CUGGGGCUGUGUGCUGGUGUC
rnacentral:piRNA from 1 species